rnacentral:misc_RNA from 1 species
UCCGAGUUGACCCCGGCAGUCUCCUACGAGUCCCCGGCAUUAUCCGCUGGCAACAUAGGACAAGGGUUGCGCUCGUUGCGGGACUUAACCCAACAUCUCACGACACGAGCUGACGACAGCCAUGCAGCACCUGUGUUCCGGUUCCCUUUCGGGCACAACCUCCUCUCAGAGGCCUUCCGGACAUGUCAAGGGUAGGUAAGGUUUUUCGCGUUGCAUCGAAUUAAUCCACAUAAUCCACCGCUUGUGCGGGUCCCCGUCAAUUCCUUUGAGUUUUAACCUUGCGGCCGUACUCCCCAGGCGGUCGACUUCACGAGUUAGCUUCGUUACUGAGAGUGUCAAACCCCCAACAACCAGUCGACAUCGUUUAGGGCGUGGACUAC